UUUCUUAAUUAAUUUUAAAAUAAUUGACUUUUAAUUAAGAAAUUCUCAUUUACUUGAUUUUUCUUUUGAAAAAUUAAUAAUCAAAAUGGGAAAGUUUUUUUUUUUUUUUUUUUUUUUUUUUGUAUAUGUGAUAGAAUAUAAUAAAUUUAAUACACUACUCACGGAAGAACAUUUAUGCAUAUUGAGGAUAACCAAAAGAUGAUCACAUACAUAUAUAUUCAUAUUGUUUGUUGAAGUGGUGAAGAAGAAACAUAUUCACCUCUAAACAAACCUAUUAACAUAUGGAAGCUCAACAUAAAAACAUUAAUUUAACCAAGGUUACGAGACUCUCGAGAAAAUAUAGAAGGACAAAUUACAUAUAUGUUGUAAAUUACUUCAAUUAAAUUAUGCUUUUUCUUUGUCUCCAUAUUCCCUUUAAGAAAAGAAAACAAGAAAAAAAAAUGAAAAUUAAACUAACGAAAAGAAGCUCAUGCGGCAGGAGCAUAAUCGUAGCAUCCAUCGUCAUCAUCGUCAUCUCCUUCUCGUCUUAUAAUAGUUUUUGUUAGAUCAAUAGGAAAUGAUCUACUACACUUGACAUCUUCACACACAUUAUUCUUGAUCAUCAUUGAAGCAACCGACUUGGAAGUAGAUACCAUAUUGUUGAGAAAGAAAGAGAUAUCAGAAGAGAUGUAGAUAUCAGAUGUUUGAUUGGGUUUUAGAGAUUGUAGUUAUGAGUAGAGAAUAAUGCAGAAGAGAAAAGGGUUUAAAUAGAGAGGAAAGAGAGGGUGAAAUGGUUAAGGUUUUAGGGCAGAAGGAAAACACAAGAAAGAAUGUGGAUAAUGAACAACAAAGAGUGUCCAACACCAACU
rnacentral:lncRNA from 1 species